UACGUAGGGUGCGAGCGUUGUCCGGAAUUACUGGGCGUAAAGAGCUCGUAGGUGGUUUGUCGCGUUGUUCGUGAAAACUCACAGCUUAACUGUGGGCGUGCGGGCGAUACGGGCAGACUGGAGUACUGCAGGGGAGACUGGAAUUCCUGGUGUAGCGGUGGAAUGCGCAGAUAUCGGGAGGAACACCAGUGGCGAAGGCAGAUCUCUGGGACGUUACUGACGCUGAGACGCGAAAGCGUGGGGAGCAAACAGG
rnacentral:rRNA from 1 species